AGGUGACCAUGGCAGACCGAGCGGCUGCCGACCGAGCGUGCAAGGAUCCCAACCCCAUCAUCGAUGGCAGGAAAGCGAAUGUGAAUCUGGCGUAUUUGGGGGCCAAACCGCGGAGCAUUCAAACCGGUUUUACCAUAGGUGUGCAGCAGUUGCAUCCAGCCUUUAUUCAGAGACCCUUUGGGCUAACUCCUCACUAUAUUUAUCCUCAAGCGAUCAUUCAGCCCAGCAUGGUCAUCCCUACCCCUGUGCAGUCUAUCACGUCUCCCUACAUAGACUACACCACUGCGAGCCAAGCCUAUAGCCAGUACACCACAGCUGCCUACGACCAGUACCCCUACGCCGCCUCUCCCGCUGCUGGGUUUGUGGGAUACGGCUACCCAAGCGCAGUCCAACCGCCCCUCACAGCGAGCAAUCCAGCAGCACCCACCACCGCUUUUGUUCAGUAUCAGCCCCAACAGCUGCAACCUGACCGCAUGCAAUAAGGGUCCAGCCCUGGCAUCUACCACAUAGGACAAUCUUACCAUGGAAGGAUACAAAAAAAGCAAAAACAAAAAAACAAAAAAAACCCCAAAAUAAACAAACAAACAAAAAAAAAAACCCAAGAAAAACAAAGGGAAAAAAGAAUGAAAAGAAACGAAACCCUUUUAGGUGCGUAUGAAUACCUAAGCUAUUUAUAGUGUUAAGGGGGAACCUGAAUCCUUGCAAUCUGGCUACACUCAUGAAGAAGGACUUCCGGUAAGUUUGGACAUAGAUCAUCUUGAAGACGUACUUUAAAGUCUCUGAAACGUUAGAAGGAAAACUACAGUUUCUUGCACACUUAGUGGUCUGCUUCCAUCGUCUGUCGUCUCCUCAUCCCCUCACCUGAUCCUCUCCCAUCCAUCAGUUAUCCCCACCCCAGCUCCGUUUGCCACCAUCAGACCUGCAGUCCUCUUCUUUACUAUCGAGGUACGCACAGUACUUGGAGAACAGUGGGGGGAGGGAAAGCGAUCUUAUUUUUUUGGUUGUACAAAAACUUUGUAAUACUCAGAGAUGCCUUACAGAAAAAAAGAAAAAGAAAACUAUUUUUUAAUAUUUAUUGCGAUUUUAUUCGCAUGAGCUGUGAAUUACAGACAGAAGAAGAAGAAUAUGCUAAAGAGGUGCCUGUGGCCUGUAUAUGUCAAAGUCCUGAACAGCUUCUGGAGGCAAGAAGUACUUUGUUGACAACCUGCUUCGAAACAUGUUACCUUAAACUGCUGCUUGUUCUGUAUGACACUAGCUGUGUACACUGGAAUAAUUACUGUGAUCAUUAAGGAAAAAGACAUGGUUUCAUUUCAAGAAAGCAGCCCCAGUCUUACCAUCAGAAGAGAAACAUGCAACUACUUUUUCAGAACUAAGACUGGAUAAAGGAAAUGAAGAGCUGUACAACGCUGUUUAGCAGACGGCAACAAGAUCCUGUGAUUAGAGCAGCGGACUGAGCAUCAGGUCUGCUGGAGUUGUAUCUGCUGUGGGACGGAUAUUAACCUUUCUGCAAGUGGAGUCAUUUGCCGCUGCUAUUAGAAACCCAAAGCACCCAUUUAAAAAAAUGUUUUUUUGCCUUGACAGCACUCCCAUUGGCACAUCCAAAUGUCAGGUUUCUGCGUGCAGUUGUAUCAGUCGUCAACUAGCUAAGGAUGCUUUGCCUGCAGCCGAGGAGACGUAACACAGUGUAUUAACGUUGCAUAGCAAAGUUACUACAGAAAGAAAGUAAGAGUAUCCUAGAUGACAAAUGGAUCUAGCGUGAAUGUUUGGCUUUAGGACCGCACAAAAGUACCAGUGGAAGCUAGAUGGAGGACCAACAGCCAGGAUCUCAUUUGGCAAUGUCAUCCAUUUGUAUGAUGCCCAUCAUGCUGGAAACCUGGACGUUAUUUUCAUAGGUGUUAGGGGCUGGAAGGGACCUUACAAGAUCAUUGCGUCCAGCCCCCCUGCUUUUGACUGAGAGGACAGAGCACUUCCUACUGCCUCUCCACCAUCACUUUGUGCAGCAUGGUGGCGUUCCCUCUGAGGUCUCAGGGAAAGCCCAGAGAAGAACCAAGCUCUGUUAGCUUCAAGCUAGGGUCAUGUAGGCUUUAGCCAUAAGGGGGAAAGAGAAAGUAUUUUUAUUCCAAGUGGACUUGGUUUUUUACUGCUGUUUUACCCUUUAAGAUAAAGUGCAUGGUAAUGUUUUCACCCCUGUGACACGAGGAAUGCUAACAGCAUCUGUUUUUAUUUUUCUGGCUGGAAUUAGCUUUCCCUUCCUUUGUGCCUCCCUCAAUCCUGCCAACGUAGAGGUUCCCUUGUUCAAAAAAAAAAAAA